UGGAGCGACGAACCGGGGCUUGCCCCGGGGCAGAGCCGCGAACGGGUGAGUAACACGUGGGUUACCUGCCCUGAUGACCGGGACAACCCGUCGAAAGACGGGCUAAUACCGGAUGUGCCCGCAAGGGGAAAGGAGGCGUAAGCUUCCGCAUCGGGAUGGGCCCGCGGAGCAUUAGCUUGUUGGUGAGGUAAAAGCUCACCAAGGCUUCGAUGCUUAGCUGGUCUGAGAGGACGAUCAGCCACACUGGGACUG
rnacentral:rRNA from 1 species